UACGUAGGGGGCAAGCGUUAUCCGGAUUUACUGGGUGUAAAGGGAGCGUAGGUGGUUUAAUAAGUCAGGUGUGAAAGCCCGGGGCUCAACUCCGGGAUUGCAUUUGAAACUAUUAGACUAGAGUGCAGGAGAGGUAAGUGGAAUUCCUAGUGUAGCGGUGAAAUGCGUAGAUAUUAGGAGGAACACCAGUGGCGAAGGCGGCUUACUGGACUGUAACUGACACUGAGGCUCGAAAGCGUGGGGAGCGAACAGG
rnacentral:rRNA from 1 species